AUUGAACGCUGGCGGCAGGCUUAACACAUGCAAGUCGAGCGGAGAUGAGGUGCUUGCACCUUAUCUUAGCGGCGGACGGGUGAGUAAUGCUUAGGAAUCUGCCUAUUAGUGGGGGACAACAUUCCGAAAGGAAUGCUAAUACCGCAUACGUCCUACGGGAGAAAGCAGGGGAUCCUCGGACCUUGCGCUAAUAGAUGAGCCUAAGUCGGAUUAGCUAGUUGGUGGGGUAAAGGCCUACCAAGGCGACGAUCUGUAGCGGGUCUGAGAGGAUGAUCCGCCACACUGGGACUGAGACACGGCCCAGACUCCUACGGGAGGCAGUAGUGGGGAAUAUUGGACAAUGGGGGGAACCCCGAUCCAGCCAUGCCGCGUGUGUGAAGAAGGCCUUAUGGUUGUAAAGCACUUUAAGCGAGGAGGAGGCUACUGAGACUAAUACUCUUGGAUAGUGGACGUUACUCGCAGAAUAAGCACCGGCUAACUCUGUGCCAGCAGCCGCGGUAACAC
rnacentral:rRNA from 1 species